rnacentral:rRNA from 1 species
AGUGAACGCUGGCGGUAGGCCUAACACAUGCAAGUCGAACGGCAGCACAGUAAGAGCUUGCUCUUACGGGUGGCGAGUGGCGGACGGGUGAGGAAUACAUCGGAAUCUACUUUUUCGUGGGGGAUAACUUAGGGAAACUUACGCUAAUACCGCAUACGACCUACGGGUGAAAGCAGGGGAUCUUCGGACCUUGCGCGAUUGAAUGAGCCGAUGUCGGAUUAGCUAGUUGGCGGGGUAAAGGCCCACCAAGGCGACGAUCCGUAGCUGGUCUGAGAGGAUGAUCAGCAACACUGGAACUGAGACACGGUCCAGACUCCUACGGGAGGCAGCAGUGGGGAAUAUUGGACAAUGGGCGCAAGCCUGAUCCAGCCAUACCGCGUGGGUGAAGAAGGCCUUCGGGUUGUAAAGCCCUUUUGUUGGGAAAGAAAAGCAGCAGGUUAAUACCCCGCUGUUCUGACGGUACCCAAAGAAUAAGCACCGGCUAACUUCGUG